rnacentral:sRNA from 1 species
GGCGGCGUGCUGCUCAGCCCGUUUCUGAUCUAUGUGUUGCUGGCGCUGGUGCUCACCGGGCUGUUGCGCUUCGUUGUGCAGGCCACCCCCCUGGGGCGCUGGAUCUGGCACGAGGCGUUGUUCGACGCGGCGCUG